AUGUAGCAAAUUCGUAGCAAAAAUCGUUUGGAGACUAAAGAGCCGUCUCCGAUCUUCUUAUCCAUUGUUUCCCUUGGUCUCUCAAUUUUUCUUCUUCCCUCAUGGCUAUUGUUGCUGCUCAUACUAACCGAGUACACUUACUAUUACAAACCCUAAUUUCGUCAAGCCCACAGAGAUUCCAUAAGAAAAUGACGUUUUCUCUCCGGAUCUUAUUGUUUAAGUCCGAAGAGAGGAGAAAUUGAUUGAAAUCGAUUCAAGAAGUAAGCCUUUGUUCGACAACCAUGAGUAAGUCGGCAGUAGAGACUCCUGCGAAGAAGGUGGAGGAUGUAAUGCCCAUCUCAACUGGAUUUGAGAAGGAGGAGCUUGACGCUGAAAUAAAGGUGAUUGCUUCUGUUUUAUUUUUUUAUCUAAUGCAACUUAAGAUCUGAAUAUGAUUCAAGUGUGUUAAUUUGAUAUGUUUUACUGUUAAGUCCACUU